rnacentral:rRNA from 1 species
ACGCUCGACACCUACGGGGGGCAGCAGUUGGGAAUAUUGGACAAUGGAGGAAACUCUGAUCCAGUGACGCCGCGUGAAGGAAGAAGGUCUUCGGAUUGUAAACUUAUUUUGUCAGGGAAGAAAAAUGACUGUACCUGAAGAAAAAGCACCGGCUAACUACGUGCAAGCAGCCGCGGUAAUCUGAGCGGGCUGGCAAGGC